GCCCAUGUCUGGUGGAGCCAAUGCCAGCCAGCUCGAGGACGGGCUUCCUGCCGCUGGCCAAGGCCAAGCAAAUUAGGAGUGACAGUAAUGACUCUGUGAUAACAUAUUUAAGAACAGAAAUUGUGGCACAGAAGGA